CUGGUCGGGAAGUUUCCCGGAGGCUCGCCCCGGGAACCCCGCCCCGCCGCCCUGGAAGCCCCUGUCUGCUCGCUGGCUUACCCCUAGGACGGGCAGCUCACCACUUCUCCCGGAAUCCUGGUCCGCAGACAGCCCUGUCUUCUAGUCCAAGAUGCUGGCCAAGAGUGUUGAGGUGGGGAGAAUGAAAGUGAGAUGAGGGAAGAUCUCAGACUUACACCUGCCCUGCCCCGCCUGGCUGAUUCUCCAGCCCCAGCCGGAGAGCCACUCACCAUUUUGAUGGGCCGGAAGGACAUGAGCCGAUCACUGCGGUAGCUGCUCGACCAUGUGUUCCAGCGAGGGUACUCGCCCUUCUCCAGGAUGAACAUCUCCCCGCGGAAGUUGGACUGCUCAAAGGCGACCCAGCUGGAUACAAGAAGGACCAUGAGGCAGACAGGAGACAUAUGGGGGCUGCUGGGACCCUGCUCUCCCCAGAAGGAGACAAGGAUGAUGGGCUAUCACCAUGGGCUGAGACAGAAUGCAUCACAGGAGCCUCAGGUCUUUGUCUGAGAGAUGAGUUAACCACACUGGAGUAAAUUAAAG
rnacentral:lncRNA from 1 species